GCUGGGCUUGGUAGUGCGAGCCUGUGACCCAAGUGGGAGCAUAAAGAUGGUGGAAUAAUUGGGCUUGCCUUGAAGGUGGUGAGUUGUAUGGUGGAGUCUCUGUGAAGGCGGAGGCUUCACUGUCCUUAGAUUGGAGGGCACCGCGUGAGGCUGGCUUCACAGAGCAGCGAUAACCUCCUCCUCUCUGCGGUGGAAGGAUAACUGGCCGGUGCAACCCCGUCCACUAGCAGCCUGAUUGGCUGCCCAGGUAAACCACCGUCUUU
rnacentral:SRP_RNA from 1 species